CUGCCAUAUCACGUUGAAACGUUUGUGCUCGUUCGAUCAUCGAAGUUAAGCAACGUCGAUCUUGGUCAGUACCUGGAUGGAUGAACGUUUGGGAAUACAAGGUGCUGUAAG